UAGAGUUUGAUCCUGGCUCAGGAUGAACGCUGGCGGUCUGCUUAACACAUGCAAGUCGAACGCAACCUUCGGGUUGAGUGGCGGACGGGUGAGUAACGCGUGAGAAUCUGCCUUGGGGUCGGGGACAACCACUGGAAACGGUGGCUAAUACCGGAUAAGCCUUUGGGUAAAAGAUUUAUUGCCCCAAGAGGAGCUCGCGUCUGAUUAGCUAGUUGGUGAGGUAAGAGCUCACCAAGGCAGCGAUCAGUAGCUGGUCUGAGAGGACGAUCAGCCACACUGGGACUGAGACACGGCCCAGACUCCUACGGGAGGCAGCAGUGGGGAAUUUUCCGCAAUGGGCGAAAGCCUGACGGAGCAAGACCGCGUGAGGGAGGAAGGCUCUUGGGUUGUAAACCUCUUUUCUCAGGGAAGAAGCUCUGACGGUACCUGAGGAAUCAGCCUCGGCUAACUCCGUGCCAGCAGCCGCGGUAAUACGGAGGAGGCAAGCGUUAUCCGGAAUUAUUGGGCGUAAAGCGUCCGCAGGUGGCGAUUCAAGUCUGCUGUCAAAGCACGGGGCUUAACUCCGUUAAGGCAGUGGAAACUGAAUAGCUAGAGUGCCGUAGGGGUAGAGGGAAUUCCCGGUGUAGCGGUGAAAUGCGUAGAGAUCGGGAAGAACAUCGGUGGCGAAAGCGCUCUACUGGACGGCACUGACACUCAGGGACGAAAGCUAGG
rnacentral:rRNA from 1 species